GCUGCGCCUGGCGAGGCAGGAUACACACGUGAGCAGGACAAACAGAGACCAGAGCGAGAGGGCUCGACAGACGCCGGUCCCCGGGUCUGUGGAGCCGCAGGACAGGCGGCCACCGCGGGCCAAGGGCAGGCGGGGGCUCCCGGACAGGGCUGAUUUACCCCUGAGCACAAAGGAAUUUCUCACCAUGACCAGUCCCAGUUCUCUAGGUGAUGCUCCACAAGGGAUCCGCCAGGGCACGAGCUCCAGCCCAUGGGGACAUCAGGAACCGGAUCUUACGGAACAUCAAGAUGCUCACUGAGCCCGACAGCUCCUGGACUGUGUGGGGGUUAGGAAACUGAUGACAUCCAAGUUGUGGAAUUGAGGUCAAACCCUAACUUUGUAGAACAAAAUUCAGAAAAGG